rnacentral:rRNA from 1 species
ACACAUGCAAGUCGAACGAUGAAGCCCGGGCUUGCCUGGGUGGAAGAGUGGCGAACGGGUGAGUAACACGUGAGCAACCUGCCCCUGACUCUGGGAUAAGCGCUGGAAACGGCGUCUAAUACUGGAUAUGAGUAGCGAAGGCAUCUUCGGCUACUGGAAAGAUUUUUCGGUCUGGGAUGGGCUCGCGGCCUAUCAGCUUGUUGGUGAGGUAAUGGCUCACCAAGGCGUCGACGGGUAGCCGGCCUGAGAGGGUGACCGGCCACACUGGGACUGAGACACGGCCCAGACUCCUACGGGAGGCAGCAGUGGGGAAUAUUGCACAAUGGGCGGAAGCCUGAUGCAGCAACGCCGCGUGAGGGAUGACGGCCUUCGGGUUGUAAACCUCUUUUAGCAGGGAAGAAGCGAAAGUGACGGUACCUGCAGAAAAAGCGCCGGCUAACUACGUGCCAGCAGCCGCGGUAAUACGUAGGGCGCAAGCGUUAUCCGGAAUUAUUGGGCGUAAAGAGCUCGUAGGCGGUUUGUCGCGUCUGCUGUGAAAUCCCGAGGCUCAACCUCGGGCCUGCAGUGGGUACGGGCAGACUAGAGUGCGGUAGGGGAGAUUGGAAUUCCUGGUGUAGCGGUGGAAUGCGCAGAUAUCAGGAGGAACACCGAUGGCGAAGGCAGAUCUCUGGGCCGUAACUGACGCUGAGGAGCGAAAGGGUGGGGAGCAAACAGGCUUAGAUACCCUGGUAGUCCACCCCGUAAACGUUGGGAACUAGUUGUGGGGUCCAUUCCACGGAUUCCGUGACGCAGCUAACGCAUUAAGUUCCCCGCCUGGGGAGUACGGCCGCAAGGCUAAAACUCAAAGGAAUUGACGGGGACCCGCACAAGCGGCGGAGCAUGCGGAUUAAUUCGAUGCAACGCGAAGAACCUUACCAAGGCUUGACAUAUACGAGAACGGGCCAGAAAUGGUCAACUCUUUGGACACUCGUAAACAGGUGGUGCAUGGUUGUCGUCAGCUCGUGUCGUGAGAUGUUGGGUUAAGUCCCGCAACGAGCGCAACCCUCGUUCUAUGUUGCCAGCACGUAAUGGUGGGAACUCAUGGGAUACUGCCGGGGUCAACUCGGAGGAAGGUGGGGAUGACGUCAAAUCAUCAUGCCCCUUAUGUCUUGGGCUUCACGCAUGCUACAAUGGCCGGUACAAAGGGCUGCAAUACCGCGAGGUGGAGCGAAUCCCAAAAAGCCGGUCCCAGUUCGGAUUGAGGUCUGCAACUCGACCUCAUGAAGUCGGAGUCGCUAGUAAUCGCAGAUCAGCAACGCUGCGGUGAAUACGUUCCCGGGUCUUGUACACACCGCCCGUCAAGUCAUGAAAGUCGGUAACACCUGAAGCCGGUGGCCUAACCCUUGUGGAGGGAGCCGUCGAA